GCACAAGCGGUGGAGCAUGUGGUUAAUUCGAAGCAACGCGAAGAACCUUACCAGGUCUUGACAUCCCUGACAACCAAGAGAUUGGGCGUUCCCCUUCGGGGGACAGGGUGACAGGUGGUGCAUGGUUGUCGUCAGCUCGUGUCGUGAGAUGUUGGGUUAAGUCCCGCAACGAGCGCAACCCUCGCCUCUAGUUGCCAGCAUUCGGUUGGGCACUCUAGAGGGACUGCCGGCGACAAGUCGGAGGAAGGUGGGGAUGACGUCAAAUCAUCAUGCCCCUUAUGACCUGGGCUACACACGUGCUACAAUGGGCGGUACAAAGGGCUGCGAACCCGCGAGGGGGAGCCAAUCCCAAAAAGCCGCUCUCAGUUCGGAUUGCAGGCUGCAACUCGCCUGCAUGAAGCCGGAAUCGCUAGUAAUCGCGGAUCAGCAUGUCACGGUGAAUACGUUCCCGGGUCUU
rnacentral:rRNA from 1 species